rnacentral:rRNA from 1 species
GAGUUUGAUCAUGGCUCAGGAUGAACGCUAGCGACAGGCCUAACACAUGCAAGUCGAGGGGCAGCACAAGGUAGCAAUACUGAGGUGGCGACCGGCGCACGGGUGAGUAACGCGUAUGCAACCUGCCUGUAACAGGGGAAUAGCCUCUUGAAAGAGAGAUUAAUGCCGCAUAAUACGAGAUUCGGGCAUCCGGAUUUAGUUAAACAUCUAUGGGUUACAGAUGGGCAUGCGUUUCAUUAGGUAGUUGGUGAGGUAACGGCUCACCAAGCCGACGAUGAAUAGGGGUUCUGAGAGGAAGGUCCCCCACACUGGUACUGAGACACGGACCAGACUCCUACGGGAGGCAGCAGUGAGGAAUAUUGGUCAAUGGACGCAAGUCUGAACCAGCCAAGUCGCGUGAAGGAUGAAGGUAUUAUGUAUUGUAAACUUCUUUUGUCAGGGAAUAAUGGGUGUCACGUGUGACGCAGAGGAAUGUACCUGACGAAUAAGCAUCGGCUAACUCCGUGCCAGCAGCCGCGGUAAUACGGAGGAUGCGAGCGUUAUCCGGAUUUAUUGGGUUUAAAGGGUGCGUAGGCGGUUUGUUAAGUCAGUGGUGAAAGUUUGCGGCUCAACCGUAAAAUCGCCAUUGAAACUGGCGAACUUGAGUACAGUAGAGGUAGGCGGAAUUCGUGGUGUAGCGGUGAAAUGCUUAGAUAUCACGAAGAACUCCGAUUGCGAAGGCAGCUUGCUGGACUGUAACUGACGCUGAGGCACGAAAGC